rnacentral:rRNA from 1 species
GACGAACGCUGGCGGCGUGCUUAACACAUGCAAGUCGAACGGAAAGGCCUCUCUCGGGGGGUACUCGAGUGGCGAACGGGUGAGUAACACGUGAGUAACCUGCCCUUGACUUUGGGAUAACUUCAGGAAACUGGGGCUAAUACCGGAUAGGAGCUCCUGCUGCAUGGUGGGGGUUGGAAAGUUUCGGCGGUUGGGGAUGGACUCGCGGCUUAUCAGCUUGUUGGUGGGGUAGUGGCUUACCAAGGCUUUGACGGGUAGCCGGCCUGAGAGGGUGACCGGCCACAUUGGGACUGAGAUACGGCCCAGACUCCUACGGGAGGCAGCAGUGGGGAAUAUUGCACAAUGGGUGGAAGCCUGAUGCAGCAACGCCGUGUGAGGGAUGACGGCCUUCGGGUUGUAAACCGCUUUCGCUCAUGACGAAGCUUUGUGUGACGGUAGUGGGUAAAGAAGCACCGGCUAACUACGUG